rnacentral:tRNA from 1 species
AGACGGGGAGGGCGAGCCGGGCAGGCGGGGAGAACCCCCGUGACCGGGGUUCGAAUCCCCGCCCGGCUACCA